UACGGGGGGGGCAAGCGUUGUCCGGAUUUAUUGGGCGUAAAGAGCGUGUAGGCGGCUAGAUAGGUCCGUUGUGAAAACUCGAGGCUCAACCUCGAGACGUCGAUGGAAACCAUCUGGCUAGAGUCCGGAAGAGGAGAGUGGAAUUCCUGGUGUAGCGGUGAAAUGCGCAGAUAUCAGGAAGAACACCCGUGGCGAAGGCGGCUCUCUGGUACGUGACUGACGCUGAGACGCGAAAGCGUGGGGAGCAAACAGG
rnacentral:rRNA from 1 species